rnacentral:misc_RNA from 1 species
GAUGAAGAACGCAGCGAAAUGCGAUACUUGGUGUGAAUUGCAGAAUCCCGUGAACCAUCGAGUCUUUGAACGCAAGUUGCGCCUCAAGCCAUUAGGUUGAGGGCACGUCUGCCUGGGCGUCACAUAUCGUUGCCUGAUGCCAGUUUCCUCGUGAUGGGUGACUGUGCAGGGCGAAUGAUGGCUUCCCGUGAGCAUUGUUGCCUCAUGGUUGGUUGAAAAUUGAGUCCUUGGUAGGGAGCGCCGUGAUAGAUGGUGGUUGAGUGACGAACGAGACCCAAUCAUGUCAGACCCCUACCGAAUUUGGCCUUCAUGACCCACAUGCGUCUUUGGAACGCUCAUGACGAGACCUCAGGUCAGGCGGGGCUACCCGCUGAGUUUAAGCAUAUCAAUAAGCGGAGGA